rnacentral:SRP_RNA from 1 species
AGUGGGGGCAUUAAGGUGGUGUGGACGCUGUUGUAGCGCUGCAAGCUUGGUCUAUGUAUGCUACUGUUGGCCCGCCCGUUCCAAGUUGAGUAGUGGACCGCUUGGGGCCUAUGCGAAAGUUGGGCCUCACGGUCCAUAAUGUGGCAGGCACCGCGUGAGGCUGGCUUCACAGAGCAGCGACAACUGCCCGCUUCCAACGGUGGAAGGAUAACGGGCCGCUGCA